rnacentral:tRNA from 1 species
GUGGACGUGCCAGAGUGGUUAUCGGGCAUGACUAGAAAUCAUGUGGUCUCUUCCCGCGCAAGUUUGAAUCCUUCCAUACAUGCCUGCCUGGCUGUAAAUCUGUUGGGCUUCAUCCGCACAGGUUCGAAUCCUGUUGUCGAUG